rnacentral:rRNA from 1 species
UACGGGGGGAGCAAGCGUUGUUCGGAUUUACUGGGCGUAAAGGGCGCGUAGGCGGUAGCACAAGUCAGUUGUGAAAUCUCCGGGCUUAACUCGGAAAGAUCAACUGAUACUGUGCGACUAGAGUGCAGAAGGGGCAACUGGAAUUCUCGGUGUAGCGGUGAAAUGCGUAGAUAUCGAGAGGAACACCUGCGGCGAAGGCGGGUUGCUGGGCUGACACUGACGCUGAGGCGCGAAAGCCAGGGGAGCGAACGGG